ACUGCCAGUCAUUUCAUUUGUACCUCAGCUAUCCAUUGAGUAAACUGCCAACUGUUCAACCGAUUAAGAGUAAGAAAAAUGGAAGUUUUUAUUUUCCCUUUAGUCAUUCUUCUCUGAUGGUCUUCUUUUCUUUAUGCAGAUCCAGGUUUCUGACCUAUACCAUUUUACACUCCUACUGCCUAGGUCUGACAAAAAGGCAUUCCAGGGGAGGACUGAGAGAAGAAGAUUGCUGGAAUAGCCGCUGCAGAGAAAAUUUGUGUCACUCGUGUGUGAUCUUGGGCGAGUCACCAAAAUGUCCUUAACUUAGGUUUUAGUAUCCAUAAAAGGACAAUAAUAUUUACCUCACAGGAUUGGACAAUUAAAUGAGGACUUUACUGACCACUAAUACUGACUGCACUAUUUGGGCCCUCUGGCUAUUUCUGCAGUUGGACUGGGUGGCCCACCCUAACUGGAGGUGUGUCUAGUGGCUGCUUGCUAAAUCUAGUUGGGGCCAAAUGGCGAUGGAGAACAACAGAGUUCCAGAAGGAACGAACUGUCCACUGGUCAUCCAGCAGGAUCUAUGGCUUAUUAUAUGUAUCUCAGUCUUACCUUCUGAUGCAAAACGGU